rnacentral:lncRNA from 1 species
UAUAAUACAUAAAAACAAACGAAUAUUAAUAAAAUUCAAUAAUAUUUGAAUUUCAUAUAUAAAAUAAAUUACAAGUAUUAUACUAACAUCUCAUUAGUCUCACUGUAUGGCCAUAGUAUAGUAUAAGUCACUAUAUUGGUUAUACAACCCCUUAAAGAGUCUCAUUAGUAUCAUUGUACGAUCAUGGUAUAAGUCACAAUAUUUCUUACACAACCCCUUAGGGGAAAAAAGAAAAACUAACAUCCAAAUGUAAAAAAAAAUAUAAAACUUUGCCUCAACAAAAACUAAAUCCUUCUAAAAUAAGGGAACCUUUUGUCUAACCGUCCUGCCAAUAUGAUAAUCAACUUGUUAACUUGUAUGAAGUCUUCAAAAGUUGUUUGUGAGUCUUCAAAAGCUGUAAAAAUUAAUAAAAAAUAUCCAGUAAGCAAAACUACAAAGAUCAAUAGUAAAUAUUAGUUAAAUAAUUGAGAGGUGAUCAUUCCAGCAGCAAUAUAACCAAGCUUAGUUAAUAAGAAACUAGCAAAGUAAAAGAAAAAAGGAAACAACCAUGCUUGAAAAAUAAGAAACUAGUAGAAACAGUGAGGAAAUGAGAUUUAGUUUAUCAAUGAAAACAAAGCAAUGCAUCUCAAAAUAUUCAAAUGAUCUCCAUGGGAAAAAUGGCAAUCUUGCUUAGACGGGAGGUACAACAACAACAAUAACAAAAGAUGGAAUUUAUCAAUAUUACACUCUAAGUGACACUUAGCCUAAGGAACAAAGUUAAAGUUUAAAAUACCAUUAGCAGAGAUAAACGAUGCAAUCUUCUUUCAACAUUAGUGGUAUAUGGUAGAAUGUUCCAAUAUUAUUUAGAAAGCUUGAGUUUAGUAAAAAGGAAUAAACUUAAUUAAGUAAUUUGCUCUAGAGGUUUCAGCUUUGUUGCUCAUCAAUGCAUUGGUUAUACAUACAUAUAAUAGUAUAAAUGUAAUAACAAAUUAUUAGGUGAGAUAAAGUGCAUUCUAAUGAAGUUAAAUACAUACCAAUCAAAUGCUAACAAUGAACAAAUAAUGCAAAAUAAUCUAAUAUCCACUCCACUGUUAGCUCAAGUAUUAGAGAUGGUCGGCCAUAUUUUUUCAACAACAUGGUGGAACACAAGAGAACGAAUCAAUAAUAUAAAAAUUUGGAUAUUCCAGGUUCAUAAAAGUUCAUUCACUUCAAAUGUAACUAACACAUGCAUUUAAAUUAUAGGUGUGAAGGGGUAGGGUCGGUCGGGUAGAGGAAAAGGGAACCAGCCGAUUUCGUUACCGGGCCAGUUUCCGGUUAUUUUUUACUGGGUUUACCGGUUCCGGGCUUUUCCGGUGUAAAAAUUUAACCGGAACAGUUCCGGGCCUACUGGGACGGGUCGGGCUUAUUUAAAUUUUUUGUAUUUUGUAUUUUGUAUAACAAUGAUAAUUAAUAUUAAGAUAAAGUAAAACCGUAAAACACUAUAAACUGACGUAUAAAAAGAAUGUUUGAAUAAAUUUCAAAGGCUUUAAAAUCCUUAUAUUUGAAAAUUUUAUUACGAAUUUAAGAUACUACAAUGAACAUGAAAAAAAUAUAACUUAUAAUAUAAGUCUUAUAGUACUAGAGUGUUAAUAAGUUGACAUGUAAGGAUCAAACUUCAAAGAUUUUUAUAGUUUCGUUUCAAAUUUUUAUUGCAAAAUAAUACUUCAAAUUAAUCUAACAAACUAAAACAUUAAGCUUAAAUAUGUCUAAUAAUUUUAAAAUAACACAAAUUAUCUCAAAUCAACUUAAAUACGAAUUUCUGGAGGACGCUGAGAACAACUCUUCAUAUGCCUCCUUAAACAGCCUGUGCCCUCCCUCUUUCGACAAACAUUUAAGACUCGACCACAGUUCUUGCACUUUACUUUGCGAACUUCUUCAUUUUCUUCUACCACCUUAAAGUAUUCCCAAACAUAUGAGCGCACUCUAGAAGUAUGGAGCAUGAUUUAACUUGAACUGAGAAUUUGGGUUUGAGAAUUGAGAGAUGAGUAAAGAAAUGAAGAAGGAGGGUCUAUUUAUAGUUUUUCAAAUGGCUAAAUUUGUAAAUAAUAAAAGUGUUAUUUUUAAAAAAAAUAAUGCCCAAAAGGGCUAUUCCUGCAAAUUAGCCAUUGGGCAACGGUCAAAAUGGCAGCUGACUGUUACCAAACGGUCAACUUUAUAAAAAAAAAUCAAAAUAGCUGUUGAACCGGUCCAAGACGGUCCGGUUAACUAUUUCCCAAAUGACUUGACCAUAACGGGUCGAACCGGUCCGAUUAACCGAAACCAAAAAUCUACUCGGCACAGGCCGAUCCCCGUCCCAACCCAUCCCUGCCAGCCCCCUUACUACCGGUCCGGGCCGGUCUAAAAUCGGUCAGGGCCGGUCCGAAACCGGGCUAGCCCGGCCCAUUUGACACCUUUAAUUUAAAUCACUAGGAUUCACUUUUUUUAUUUUUAGUUGACUCAUUUUUACAUUAGCAUCUAAAUAUCGAGAUUCAUAUAACAUAUAAAACGACCAAUUGUAAAUCACAAAGCGCCAUCUUACAUGAAUUAUGAAGCAGUCAUUCUAACAGUGGUUCUCCAAAACUUUUGCAAAAUGAUGAGAUUACUGCCCGCCAUAUCAUAGCUUAGUACAACCCAAAAUAUGAAAACAAGUCCGAAAAAUAAUUACUCAAACUAAACCAGUAAUGAUUCAAGCAAAAGGAUAAUGGAAUUCAAAAUUGAGUUAGAAUCAAUAGGACAUACAUGAUCUUGAUGUAUGUGUUUCAAUGAAGCAGCAAUUUCAACUAAAUAAAAAAGAACCAAUACUAGAAGCAAAUGAUGACAGAUAAAUUAAAAACAUAUUUCGAAUCAAAUUGAAAAUUAAUUUAAGGAGAUCCUAAGCCACGAAUAGAGAAUUUCACAAAAUAAUUAAGAACUACAAGAAGCUUCAGUACUAAAUAAACAAAAAAUAAAAGUAAGCAGAUUGAAAGAUUAAGAAAAAACAAACCUGAGAAAUUGCAGCUUGAAUAAAGAGAUUUAAGGUUGAGAGAAAACUUCAGAGGGCGGGGAGUCAUUCUUUUGGGGAUGAAUUUGAGAGGGUUUAGGCCCUUUGGAUAGGGAUUUCAGAGGAUGAGUGGAUUUUAAGUCGAAAUAUUUUUACGAUUUUUUUUUAUUUUUCUAGAUGCAUAAUUAAAUGGUUCUUUUCUCAUUUAAAGUAUAGGGACAAGAAUUUUAAUAUUUCUAUGGACUAGAUUUUGUUCCGUCGUUAAAUAAAAAGAUAAAAUCUGGUAAUAAUGACUAGAGAAAAAUCUCGUCUCAAUAAGUAUACUUUUAG